AUUGAACGCUGGCGGCAGGCCUAACACAUGCAAGUCGAGCGAGCGGCGGACGGGUGAGUAAUGUAUGGGGACUGCCCGAUAGAGGGGGAUAACUACUGGAAACGGUAGCUAAUACCGCAUACUAUCGGAUAACCCAUAUGGGAUUAGCUAGUAGGUGGGGUAAUGGAUCACCUAGGCGACGAUCCCUAGCUGGUCUGAGAGGAUGAUCAGCCACACUGGAACUGAGACGCGGCCAAGACUCCGACGGAGGCAGCAGUGGGGAAUUUUGCACAAUGGGCGCAAGCCGGAUAAAGCCAUGCCGCGUGUAUGAAAAAGUCACGAGGGUUGUAAAGUACUUCCAGUCGGAAGGCGUUACCGAAAGAAGAAGCACCGGCUAACUCCGUGCCAGCAGCAGCGGUAAUUC
rnacentral:rRNA from 1 species